CCCUCAGGAUAAGAGAGGCCUGGGGGCCCUCCCUGCUGUGGGCUCAGAGGCAGAGCUCUGGGGUGUCUCCACCAUGGCCUGGACCCUUCUCCUGCUCCCCCUCCUCACUCUCUGCACAGGCUCUGUGCCCUCCUCUGCAGUGACUCAGUCACCUUCAGUGUCUGUGGCACUGGGACAGACAGUCAAGAUCACCUGCCAGGGAGGAGACUUAAGAAUACUUCCUGCAAACUGGUACCAGCAGAAGCCAGACCAGAGCCCUGCACUGCUCAUCUAUGGUGAUAGCAGCCGGGCCUCAGGGGUCCCUGAGCGGUUCUCCGGCUCCCGCUCUGGUGGAACGGCCACCCUGACCAUCACUGGGGCCCAGGCUGAGGACGAGGCUGACUAUUUCUGUCAGUCAACGGACAGUUUAACAUUGCCACAGUGACACAAGCAGAUGAGGAAAUGAGACACAAACCCCCUUCUCUGUCUGGGUCACAACCUCCCUGCAGACACAGGAAGACUGGGGAC